GAUGAACGCUAGCGGCAGGCCUAAUACAUGCAAGUCGAACGGUGUCUUCGGACAUAGUGGCGCACGGGUACGUAACACGUAUGCAACCUACCUUACAUUGGGGGAUAGCCUUUCGAAAGGGAGAUUAAUACCGCAUAAGACAGUAGCUGGGCAUCCAGCAGCUGUUAAAGAUUUAUCGAUGUAAGCUGGGCAUGCGUCCAAUUAGCUAGUUGGUGAGGUAACGGCUCACCAAGGCAAUGAUUGGUAGGGGAACUGAGAGGUCAAUCCCCCACACUGGCACUGAGAUACGGGCCAGACUCCUACGGGAGGCAGCAGUAGGGAAUAUUGGGCAAUGGACGCAAGUCUGACCCAGCCAUGCCGCGUGCAGGAUGAAGGCGUUAUGCGUUGUAAACUGCUUUUAUACAGGAAGAAACGACUCUUGCGAGAGGCAUUGACGGUACUGUAUGAAUAAGCACCGGCUAACUCCGUGCCAGCAGCCGCGGUAACAC
rnacentral:rRNA from 1 species